CCCGGUGACCAUAGAAGGUUGGCCAUACCCGUUCCCAUCCCGAACACGGUAGUCAAGCAGCCUUCGCCGAUGAUAGUGCUUUUGUGCGAAAGUAGGUUAUUGCCGGGU
rnacentral:rRNA from 1 species